UUUGAAUAUAAAAAUAAAACUACCCUCUUAAGGUACAUUUUUACUGGCUAAAAUGGAUAUCAGACAAACUUACUGUUAUGAUUGAGCCUCAUGGCUCUGCUACUGGCAGACGUGGGCGUAAGACUCCUCGAGAGUCAGAUACUCUCGAGGAGCGAGAAAGAAAGAGGCUGCGAGAUAUCUUUGCAGAACCAUCUGACGAGGAUUCUUUUGAGGGGUUUACGGAGAGAAUGGAGGAAGAGCUGGUUAGCUCGGAAGAGGAUGAGAUGGAUUGGACUCGGCUUUGACCUUCCGUCGUCUUCUUGACAGACGCCAUCUGCUACUCUGGAUUUACGGACUGAACUGACUACGGGCUCGGAUUCUCCUACCUGGACUUGGUGAACUACAAACGUCUGCUUCUGCCUAUCGACCUUCGGAAAGAACUGGGACUACGCUACUGCUUCAAUCCUCGGCUGUUGUGUUUGUAUUGGGAACUUGCCUGCUAUGUGGAGGAGUGACUUCUAAGUUACUCAAAACAUAGUGCUGGCAGCAGAGAGGCAUCUGCUGCCAAUUAGUUACAUUCUUUUGAACUCUUUGUUCCCCAGCUUCUGUUUUGUUUAUUCCCAGGCUGAAGCAAGCUGUUUUGAUUUUACCCGGAUUAAACUCCGGUUUAAUCCGGUUUAUCUUUUGAAUGUUUUUCUUGCCCCUUUUUGCUUUUUAAGGCCAGCGUUGCCUAGCCCUUGUCUUUUACGGGCAUUUUGAGUUCUGUAAAUCCAAUAAACUCUGUUAUCUUUGAUCUUGUGGCGUUCUGUCCUUGACACUUACAGUGAUAAUGGCCAAUGGUUGAUGUAAAUCAAAUGACUCUUUUCUCCAUGACCUGUAAGUCAAAGUGGGGAUU
rnacentral:lncRNA from 11 species